rnacentral:misc_RNA from 1 species
AAGUCGUAACAAGGUAACCGUAGGUGAACCUGCGGUUGGAUCAUUAUUGAUUUUGUUAAAUAAUAACCAAAAGUUUAACAGUGUUUGGUGUAAAAACCAUUCGCAUACACCUGUGAACUGUGACUGUUUCUGGGUCCUAAUGCUCUCGAGCGACUGGGCCCGACAUAUUAACUAUAUACUAAUGUCUGAAUAAAUUUAAAUAAAAACAACUUUUGACAACGGAUCUCUUGGCUCUC